UGCAUGGAGCCUGCUUCUCCCUCGGCCUAUGUCUCUGCCUCUCUCACUCUCUGUCACUCUCAUGAAUAAAUAAAUAAAAAUCUUUAAAUAAAAACAAACAAAACAAAAUAUUCGCUUAGGCCUUUGCUGGAAGGUGCUGCUUGUUGCCCAACUUAGGUUCCAUGGAAUCCGUGAGGCACGAUCACCCUUACAUUCGAGGCUUGCCGUUUCUUUGUGUCACCAAAGUGCUCCUUCUUCUUUAUCCCUCUCUCUGCUUUUCGGUUUGAUGAAUUAUUUUUUCAUGAUUCUAUUUUAUUUACUCCCUUUUCUCUAUUCGAGAUUCAGCUUUAUUUCUUUAUUUAUUUAAUGAUCUUCAGUGAUGUUGCUUCUCCUCUGCUAACUUCCUAGUUCUGCAUCUGUGUCUACAUUCAUAUCCGUGUCUCUGUUUCUCUGUCAGUGUACGUGGACACACAACGUGCUUUCAGUUCAGUUGGGGGUCAAGCCGGAGAGUCAGUGCCUCCUGUCUACUUUCAGUUCUGUGGCUGACAGCAGGUUCCCUAGAGCCCAGGUCAGGGCGACCCACUGGGUGCACUGCUGUCCACAGCUCACCCAGUGGGAAGGAGGGAAGGGCCCAUAACACACGACAGGCAGGGGUUCAGGAUAAGGACGGCCUCACACCUUCUAGGCCGAGACUCUGACACCUUCUGUAGGGUUUGCCUUGGAUCCAGGAGCCUAGGAUCGUGGGGAGCUAUUGCCCAUCCCUCCCCCGGUGGGACUGUCAUCUUCUGGGCCUCCAGUAUGAGAGCACUGGUGCCCACGUGUGUGCACAUGGACCUCGUGGGCCUGGGCGCAUGUACACACCAAGGAAGAACAUGUGGUUGGAGGUAUUUCCCGCAUGUGACACCCGCCUCCAAUGUCAUAGAUAUGAUGCCACAGUGGCCUGGGGACGUCUGGAGGAAGCACCCGCUAGGAUAAUCCCUGUCCCACGGGCAAGAUGCAGACCAUCCCCGACGGGCACAACGGCUUCUCUGGGGUCAAAACCGGGGAAGAAUGGAAAGUUGUGUCUGAACGCAGGCGUGUGUCCAGGCUGGGGCCCUGGCUGCACACAGUCCUUCCCUGGGGCCUGUGGACAGGGGUGCGGGUGUGUCACUGUGUGCACAGGCCAUCGCCUGCAGGAGUGGGUCAGGGAGGGGGUCCCAGGAAGUGAGGUCACUCCCGUGACACAGAGCCCAACAGAACUUGGAACCCCCGUAACCAGGCAACCGCAUCUAGUGCAGCCCCACCUCAGGCUCACUUGGCUGGAGACAUCCGCUCCUGGAAGAUGUUCUCCUGCUGCCGGCCCACCUCUGGGGGCUCUGGCUCCCAGGAACCCCAGGGGUGCCGCUUGUUCCAAUGCUGUAGGCUUUGGCUCCAGCAUAAAAACCAACGCCUCAGGGCGUUUAUCAGGAGGCGCCUUCAGGUAAGUCAGAGCAGGCCAGGCCAGGCCCCCUGUGCCAGCCAUCCUGGGUGGCCCCAUCCCCUCCUCUUCAGCUUCAGGGAAACAGGGAUGUGUGGGCAGGUGCAUCCAGGCUGGGGGAUGUUGCAGGGCGGCAGGUUCCCCGGUGAUCCCUUCAGGGUCACCCUGAGGUCAAGGUGGGCAGGGUGCAAACAGGGCUCCUGAGGUCCUCUUACCCGCCGAGUAAGAGUCCCCCCGAGGCCCUGCAGCCGAUCCCUUUGCUCUCCUUGGGGGAGGGGGGUGCCGCCUGCGCUGUGGUGUGUCUGGAUGGGGGCCGCUGGGGGUGCGGCCCAGCCGAGGCGGCCGGACCGGGCGCUGAGGCCUCCUGCCUGGCUGCCGGGCACUGUCUCCACAGAGCUCCACCCGGGACAGGGGGCGCGAGCGGGAGGAAGGGGUGCUCUGCCCCACCGCCUCGAGGAACUGGGAAGUGCCCUGCGCAGCUAACAGAGGCCAGCGCGGGCUCAAAUGAGUGCAGGGGCCGGGGCACCCCCGACACCCGGGUCCCCGAUGCGGCACGAAGGGCCCCGGGUCCCAGAAGCCAGCCUGCUACUCCCCUGGGCUCCCCCCUACACUCCUGCUCCCACAUGAGUCUGCAUUCCCCUGCUCCCCACACUUGCCCCAGGGCCCUGCCCCUGCCUGGGCCAGAUGCAGAGUCCCUGUGCACAGAGGUGUAGGAAUAUCAGAGCAGAGCCUUCAGGGGCGGCCUGGUCGCCCAGGGGUUUAGCGCCUGCCUUCCGCCCAGGCCCUGACCCCGCAGGCCCGGGAUCGAGUCCCGCCUCGGGCUCUCUGCACCAGGGCUGCUUCUCCCUCUGUCUGUGUGUCUGUCUCUCUCGGUCUCUGUCUCUCUGUGUCUCUUGAGGUCCUUGUACUGAUCCAAACUUUUUCGAACAUUUAUCCUCUAAGAUUGUUUCUUUAUCGGAUAGUUUGUCUUGUUUGUGUAAGAGACAGGCAGAGAGCAGGGAGGGGAG
rnacentral:lncRNA from 1 species